UCCGAUUAAUACUCAAAAUUUUCUGAUAAUUGACUGCAAUUCAUUUUGUCCUCUUAAAGGCUACGGAUUUCUUACUCCGAAUGUUAGGUAGGAGUAUCAUUAACCACCACUCAAAUAUUUACAAAAUAAACCCCUCUUUUUAUUUUUGAAAGAAUUGAUAAUUAAACAUUUGGCUCUCUAAAUUUUAUGUUUUAUACAUUCCUCCUAUUUCCUUUUAAUCAGAGUUUUAAAGAGAAGAGUUCAUAGCUCUGCUAGGGCUUUUGCGCCACUCUCUCCUCUCCAUCAACAUCGCUCAUUCCUUGUUCCUCACCCUCCGUGGUAGCUCGCUCUCUGAUCUCCUCCCUGCGACGUGGUCGUUCGCUGAUCUUCUCCAUCCACGCGGUUGCUCGUUCUCCCCUGCACCGUGCUUGUUCUCUGAUCCUCGACGCCACAACAUGGUGCUGCCGCCGCCAUCACCACACUCGGGUUAACCAUAUUGGCACAAUGACGGAAUCUAUUCAGGCUGCACUUGACUCAAAGGCAGUAGGCUGGGUUGUCAUGGUUAGGCAUCGGAGUGAUGAGACUGAAGAUAAAUUCAUUGCUGAUCUCUCUGUCGGCUUGGCCAGUGGACAGCUUCUUCGCAUUGAAGAGGAACUUGAAAGCGUGCAAUAUGCUGGUGAAGUCUUCAGAUCACAUUAGAGUGAAUAAGUGCUGAUCUCAAAUAUGUAUCUUGAAAUAUUAUUUCUGCAAGAGUCAUUAUCAUCAUCGAUUAAGUUAGGAAAACAAACAUUACCAAGGUAAAUCCAGAAUUUUGAGAGCUGCAAUUGAUGGGUUUAGCCUUCAAAUGUGUGUUAGUUUUGAACUGAAAUAAUUACUCUAGGAAUAAGAAACUUGAGCUUGGUGAAGCUUCUACUGUGAUGUGAAGACGUAGCUUAAUGUAACUUCAUGCAGGGACUAUAGGUGUAACUUUCAAAUAAAUCUUGGUGAUGAGUUAAUUCGAAUGUGUGUUGUUUUG